GUCAGUUCCUAUAGAGGACAGAUUAAAACUAAAGUGUUUUAUAAAAUUAUUAUUCCUAUAUUGUAUAACAAAAAGCAUAAUUUUGUCUAGAAAUUUGGCUUUUGUCUCUCAGUAUUUACAAGCAUGAAUAACUCCCAACUAUUAAAAAAAUGGUCUAAAGAUUUUUCAAUGUCAGACUAAAAGUUGGUGGCCGCUAUCCAAGAAACCAGAAAAACCAGUUUAGAAUGGGACCCCAACCUGGAGGACUCUCCCAAGGAGACCAAUGAAGCUGCAUCUUUGGGAACUUCCUCCAGGGAAAAAUAAACCCCCUUCGUUUGUCUAUGUUCCCUCAACUCUUUUCAGCUUUCAUGAACAGGACCACCUCAGGAAAAAGGUCAGAAAACUUUUAAAACUCUAUAUUUGUUAAACUCAUAAUUUUGAUCCAAUAUGCCUAGGUUAAUAUGUUUUUCCUAUUACACUCUGCUUUAUUCUAAGGCCAAUUUACAAGGGUUAACUCUCAAUAUAAUAGGUUUUAAAAAAUAAGCUACAAGGCUUUUGUUUGUCUGUUUGCUUUGUGUGGGUGCACCGGUGUACUGUCUGUCUACGUGUAUUGCCAUGUCUAAAUAUAUUUGGUACAAAUGAGCUCAUAAAUUAAAAUUUAAAAAAAUGGAUCCAAAUACUUUUGGUUAAUAUGAUUUAAAAGGUUCAAUUCAAAUUGGGAAAAUAAAUAAAAGUACAAAUGUCUUUAAAGUUACUAAUACACAGUUUUGUUUCUACAUGGGUAAACAGCUGUUAAAAUGUUAAUGUCUAUAAAGUGUCUGAUAUACAUUGUCUCUAGGAUUUUUAUUCAACAGAAAAAAAAAGAUUACUAAUACUAUUCAAUGCACUUGUCUGAUACCUUGUUUUUAAAAAAAGAUUCAUAAAUUUUAUCUAAACGUAUAUAAAAUUAAUCAUGGAUAUGUUUGUUAAAGACAUCUAAUUGGUACAAAGUUAAAAUGCUGUUAAAUAUAAUAUCAAGUACUCUUAACUCCUUAAAUUCCAUAAGGUAAAAUAUUUAAACAAUGUUGGUAUUUUCACAAAUUGGUAAACUAAAAAAGAAAAUUUUAAAUUAUUUUGUGUUAUUAUAAAAACAAGGAUACUAUAAAUUACAAAGUCCCAACAGGUAUAAUUCUACAUAAAAAGAGUCAAAAGUUUUCAACUGUAUCUCAAUGAAAGUACUGUAAGUAACAAAUAUUUCAUCUUAUUAAAAUGGAUUGAUUUAUCUAAAUUCAAAAAUUUAUAAAGAUUAUUAUUUCAAGGUACAAACCAAAAAAAGGAUCAAUAGGUUAAAAAAAUAUUAAAAAGUUCUACAUAUAAAAAAAUCUUUAAUUAAUAAAAAAAUGUUUCCAAGUUAAAAAGUCUUUAUGUGAUAAAGUAUAAUUAUAAUACAUCUAAGUAAACAACAAAAGGGUCUAAUUAAGUAAUAUAAAGGUCUAUAAAUAAAAGACAAAUAUUAAAAUGUUUAUAUGUAACUAAGUUGUAUAUAUAUAUAUAUAUAUAUAACACAAAUAGUUAAAACUAUUCAAGGUUGUUCCCUAAGGACAAAUAAUAAUGUACUGAUAUAUUUAUAUGUUAAAUUGACAAAAAUAUUUAUUACAUUAUGUCUGCUAAGUUUUAUCCUCUAGAACAAGUAAUCUUGGAAAAAUUAAGGUUUUUACAUCUGUGGCUAAACAACAACUGUUAUUUUAAAGUAUUGUCUUACAUUACAAAGUCUAGAUUUUCCUUUAAAAGCUAACCUUGGUUAAUAUAAAAAAUCAAUGAAAGUGUGGUACAUUACUCUUCUUUAUGGAUUAAAUGUGUUCAUAUCUUUCAGGUAAACAAGUCUUUAAGGUAAAAGGUUUAAAGGAACAUUUUAUCAAGCUGGUAUUCUCCAAACUAAAAUUGUCUGUAAUGAUAAUUUAAACUUACAAAGAUAAUAGAUUUUAUUGGAAAUUUAUUUAUAUUAUUUAAUGUUUUGUAACCAAAUCUUACGUUACCUUUUACACUAAAUUUAAAAAGUAAUGAGAGCCUAAUCUACUUAAAGGUUAAAUAUUAUAAAACAUUUUGCCACUUUUCCACAUAAAAAAUGUUAAGGGCUCUCAGCCUUUCCUUAAUUAAUGUUUCAGAUGUAUGUCAUAUUGUGCUACUAACAUUCAUACAGAGUCAAAAACAAUAUAUGUAAACUUUAUAAAAUGAUAUCUAAAAAGAGAGACAAAGAUCAGCUUUAAAACUAAAACACUUUAGCUAAGAUUGUUAAGAUAAGGCUGAGAUAAGGCUCUGCUUCCCACCUUACAACAUGUCAGAAUAACUUCAAAGUAGGCCAGAUUUCAGUUAAUUUAAAGUUAUAUUCAAAGAUUAAUUUAUUAAAAAGAUUACUAUGAUAUCAUAUAAAAAAUAUAAUGUAUAACUCAGCCAAGGUUCAAAAUUAUAUACAAGCCAAAUAUGUUUUUAUUAUUGUUGAUUUCACUUUAUAUUUUCAUUAUAUCUAAAAAAAAAAUGUGACCACUGCACUCAGAGCAACCAAGAGACCUUUACUGUGACAGUGUCUGAUUAACACAAAGAGAAAGAGAGAGAGAGAGAGAGAGAAAUGCAAGAGAGAGAGAGAGAGAAAGAGAAGUAAAAAGAAAUGCAAGAGAGAGAGAGAGAGAGAAAGAGAGAAGGAAAAAGAGAGAGGAAAAAAGUGAAUGAGAGACAGGGAAAGUGAGAGAAAAAGGAGAGAGCAAGAGGGGAGGACCUGGCAAGAGAGAGUUUUUAUAGCCAAAAUCUAAUGGGAUCUCUAGGUCUGCAAGCUGCCUCGUUGGUGUAUAGUGAUUGGAUCAUACAGUAGAUGCUAAGGUGUCAUCUUCUGCCUUCAGGCAGAUCUUCAGCAUUACGUAAAUUAAUAAAUAAAAUAAGGAUAUUGUGUUAUGUAAAAAUAAACUGUAAAGUUAUAAAGAUUAAAGUUAAAGCCCAGCAUUCUUACUUUAAAACUGGUAAAACUGACUUGCUGGAUGUUUAAGGCCAAAUUUAAAUAUUAAGGUCAAAAUAAAGGGGCCAAAAAACCCAAUAUUUGGCUCUUGCCCUCUAAGUCAGCCUGAACCCAGGACAGGGGAAAAUGCUUUGCAACUCCGGGCCACAUAACCUCCUGAUAAGGGAGAUUAAUGAGACCAAUGGAAAACAAAAUGCCAAUGAGUGUACAUGCUGCAAAACAGGAGGGUCAUUUAAAAAGGAGACAUGUCUGAUGCUUCCAAGGAAAGCCAUAUGGUCAGCAAGACCUUGACCCAUCCUAAUGCAGAUGACACUAACAGAGCUAAAAUGCUACUCACACGUUCCCCAAGAAUGUCCUCCGAGGAAACUCAGCUGACUCUUAACAAUAGAUAGAAACAAGGUCAGUUUGACCAGCUUGGUCUUAAACACCUAGCAAAAACAGUUAAAACCAAAGCACAGCCAUUCCUGGACAUUUAAAAAAACAACAACAGUUAAUGUAACUUAAAAUGUACACUAAUGUUAGCAUCCCCAAAAAUAAGUAAGACUGGAGACAACAGAAGAAAAAUUCUUAGGCAAAAAUGCCUGAUAACUACCAAUAAAUGCCAAAAGUUUCUAUUCCAUUUAAGGCCUACAGAUCUUCCUAACUUCCUACACAGGUAGAUGUAAUCAAUGUUUAUUAAUAUAAUUAUCUAGCCCUAAGUAACAAAAGGAUCUUUACUGAACACAGUGGUCAUGCCAAAAAGGUAUUUUUACAAAAAUCAGAUGACAUUAACUAAUUUAACUAAAUAUUGUGUCUACAUUCCUAAUAAUUCUAACAAUGUUAAAGAUUUAUGUUCCCUAAAAAAAGUGCCUUAUUAGGCUUUGUUAGGCCUUGUUAUGGGGACAUUUUCUCAGGUCUUCCGCCUCCUGGUAAACAAUUAUUAAUUUCUGUCAUUUUCAUGAUAUUCAUGAACAGGUUUCAGAUGCUACAACUGCUAUUUUGUAUUAAUCUUACUUCAGCACUCAUGUCUUUUUGUUUCUCUCAUAGAAGUGCUCACCCCAGGUGAAUUUACAUCCUGUUCUUCCUGAGCCAGAUUUUUACCAUGGACUCCUUGACCCACUCGGUUUCUAAAAAGGGACUCCAAAACUGCUUGCCCACUGCACAUCACCCCCCUUUCAGCUGGAAGUAGCAAGAAUGGUCAUCGCCCUUUUCCCUUAUGGCAGUUGGAGGUCCCUAAUAUUAAAAAAAAAUUACGGUCAACAUAGAUGUUCGCCAAUGUCUAGCUCAGGAAGAUGUACCUGGGAAACUACUCCCAAGAUCACCCAUAAAGAGACACUUGCUUCUGCAACCCAACUUAUAAGUGGGACAACUCCCCAUUCACCAAAAAUUGUGCUUCUCGGUUCCCACUUUGAACUCCUUGACUAAAUCUCCAAACUGUCAAUAACUCUGAACUAUGUAACUUACUAUUUUGAUGGAGUAAAAGAAAAAGAACACCUGGACUUAUUAAAAGGCCAGACCCCACUGAUUUAUCAACAUAGACUGGCUACCCCCAUUUUAGUUCCCCUCCUGGCUGGUAUCUACUGCUUUGGGAACUACAGCUCUUAUCACAAGCUCUAAAAAUUUUAAGUCCCUCAGCCAUCAAAUAAAUAUAGAUUUAGAAAAACUAGAAAGGUCAAUCUCCAAACUAGAGGUUUCACUAGACUCUCUGACAGAAAUAGUCUUACAAAACAGAUGAGGUCUAGAUGGUCUCUUUCUGAAACAAGGAAGACUUUGUAUGGCUCCAGUAGAAACUUGUUUCUCUAUGCAAACCAGUCUGGGAUAAUAAAGUACAGUUUGGUGCUUGUGAAAAACAGGUUAAAUGAAAGAGAUAAAACACUAGAAACUUCAGGAAAUUGGUUCCAAAAUCUAUUCUCAUGGUCCCCUUAGUUGACUACCAUCAUUUCAGCCAUAGUUGGGCCCCUAGUCCUUCACCUGAUUGGUAUUACUGUAGGACCCUGCCUCUUAAAAACCCUCCUAAACCAUACACACAAAAGAAUGUAGAUGGGGUCAGACUUAUGGUCUUGAGAGCCCAGUAUAGUCCCUUAGACACAGAAGGAUGAAACAAAAACUGAGGCCUAAUGAUGUGCAAGAUUGACAUCAAACCUACUAAAACCAGUGGGGAAUGUGAUAGUAGGAGCAAAUGUGACUCCAUUUUGUUUUAUGACUUCAUCCUGUAAAACAACCAUGCCAAGUAGAAGAGUCAUGACUAGAGCAAGGUGUUCUUUUCCUUUUGCUAUAGAAACCUUUAAGAACAUGGAACUACCUAAUGGGGUAUUGUUUCUGUAACUAGGGUAACGGGGCUCUGUUUCUGUAACUGGGGUGACUGGGCUAACUGUGAUUGGUUAGUCUUCCCUCCGCUUGACUGCACUGUCCCACUUCUGUAACCUGGCUUGCUUGCAUUGGCUAGACCCCCCCGAACAUCCCUUUUGCGGUUUUCAGGCUUAUAAGGAGUGCCCUUGCAAUUGUUCAGGGCUGAUAAGGGGAACAGCUUUAUGUUCUGGUCAGCCACCACCGGUGUGCUUCAAUAAAGGCUUGAUUCGAUUAUA
rnacentral:lncRNA from 1 species